UUUAUUUAGGGCCCCCACCCACCGCUCAGGGGUGGGGGCCAGGGGCCAGGUUCCCCCCCAUCUUUAUUUAGGGCCCCCACGGGCAUGGGGGGAGUGGGGGGGGUUAUUAGUUUUUUGUUUGUUUUUUACAGUGAGCAGCUAUACGCUGCUCACUGCUUACUACACAUGCCCCUACUCGCGGUAUAGCGAGUAGGGGCAUUUAAGUUACUAAUACUAAGU